UGUGCAGCUGAUUGGCAUUGACAUCGGCCAAUCGGCACGUAGCACCGCCUUUUUAAACCUGAUUGGUCGGUGCUUGGGAUACGUCACGUCCGACUCCGACGCACUGGUUUGGGUGUCUGUAGCCGCGGCUACAGUGCAUCGUGUGGCGGUGGCUUUUCCCUUGGCUGUGGUGGCUGGAUGACUGUUCAGUUGCAGGUAUGUGAUGGCUUUGAACUGGCUGAGUAAUGGGGUUUAGCCGCAUUUUAACCUGCGUGUUUCAUGCUGUACAGCUAUUAAUUCCGGCACCUCGCUGUAUUGUAUCGACCAACGAGUGAUUUAGAACGUGUCUGAGUGUGCGCCCAUUGGAUCCUCCCUUUUCCCCUUUCUUUCUCUUUUACGUCGGAUCUUCCUC